rnacentral:rRNA from 1 species
GACGAACGCUGGCGGCGUGCCUAAUACAUGCAAGUCGAGCGAAUCUUUUGGGACUUGUCCCUUAAGAUUAGCGGCGGACGGGUGAGUAACACGUGGGUAACCUGCCUGUAAGACUGGGAUAACUUCGGGAAACCGGAGCUAAUACCGGAUAGUUUCUUUUCUCGCAUGAGGGAAGAUGGAAAGAUGGCAUCUCGCUAUCACUUACAGAUGGACCCGCGGCGCAUUAGCUAGUUGGUGAGGUAAUGGCUCACCAAGGCCACGAUGCGUAGCCGACCUGAGAGGGUGAUCGGCCACACUGGGACUGAGACACGGCCCAGACUCCUACGGGAGGCAGCAGUAGGGAAUCUUCCGCAAUGGACGAAAGUCUGACGGAGCAACGCCGCGUGAACGAAGAAGGCCUUCGGGUCGUAAAGUUCUGUUGUUAGGGAAGAACAAGUACGAGAGUAACUGCUCGUACCUUGACGGUACCUAACCAGAAAGCCACGGCUAACUACGUGCCAGCAGCCGCGGUAA